AUUGAACGCUGGCGGCAUGCCUUACACAUGCAAGUCGAACGGUAACAGGUCUUCGGAUGCUGACGAGUGGCGAACGGGUGAGUAAUACAUCGGAACGUGCCCGAUCGUGGGGGGUAACGAAGCGAAAGCUUUGCUAAUACCGCAUACGAUCUACGGAUGAAAGCAGGGGACCGCAAGGCCUUGCGCGAACGGAGCGGCCGAUGGCAGAUUAGGUAGUUGGUGGGAUAAAAGCUUACCAAGCCGACGAUCUGUAGCUGGUCUGAGAGGACGACCAGCCACACUGGGACUGAGACACGGCCCAGACUCCUACGGGAGGCAGCAGUGGGGAAUUUUGGACAAUGGGCGAAAGCCUGAUCCAGCCAUGCCGCGUGCAGGAUGAAGGCCUUCGGGUUGUAAACUGCUUUUGUACGGAACGAAAAGACUCUGGUUAAUACCUGGGGUCCAUGACGGUACCGUAAGAAUAAGCACCGGCUAACUACGUGCCAGCAGCCGCGGUAA
rnacentral:rRNA from 1 species